rnacentral:misc_RNA from 1 species
AGCCAAUUCGCAAUGCCAAUUUCUCUUACCUCCCGCCACGUAGCGGUGAUUGGUGCCGGCGCCGCCGGCCUUGUCGCUGCUCGUGAGCUCCGCCGGGAAGGUCAUAAGGUUGUAGUAUUCGAACGAGAAGCCCAAAUUGGCGGCACCUGGGUCUACGAUCCCCAUGCCGAGCCAGAUCCGUUGAGCCUCGAUCAGAAUCGAUCCAUAAUCCACUCAAGCCUCUACAGCUCUCUCCGAACCAACCUCCCAAGAGAAGUGAUGGGUUUCAGAGACUACCCGUUUAUAUCCAAAGCCGACAAAACGAGAGACCCAAGAAGGUUCCCGGGCCACAGAGAGGUGUUGCUGUAUUUGCAAGAUUUUGCGAGAGAAUUUAAGAUUGAGGAAAUGGUCAGGUUUGAGACUGAGGUGGUUCAUGUUGGGUUAGUGGAGGAUAGUAAGAAGUGGAAAGUGAGGUAUAAAAAGAAGAGAGUUGAUAACGAUGCUGAGUUUGGUAUUGGUUUUAAUUUUGAUGAUGAGAUUUAUGAUGCUGUUUUGGUUUGCAAUGGGCAUUAUACUGAACCUCGUGUAGCUGAAAUACCAGGCAUCAGUUCUUGGCCAGGGAAGCAAAUGCAUAGCCACAAUUAUCGAGUUCCUGAACCCUUCCAAGGCCAAGUGGUAAUUUUGAUUGGGAGUUCAUCAAGUGCUGUUGAUAUAUCCAGGGAAAUUUCUGGCGUUGCCAAAGAGGUCCAUGUUGCCUCAAGAUCGGUUGCAAAUGAAAAAUAUGAAGAGCAGCAUGGAUAUGAUAAUAUAUGGCUUCAUUCUAUGAUAGAAAGCGUUCAUGAAGAUGGUUCUGUAGUCUUCCAAAAUGGAAGAAUAGUCCAAGCUGACAUCAUUCUACAUUGCACUGGGUACAAAUAUCACUUCCCCUUUCUUACCAAUGGCAUUGUGACUGUGGAUGACAAUCGUGUGGGACCAUUAUACAAGCAUGUUUUCCCUCCCAUUUUGGCGCCUUGGCUUUCAUUUGUUGGGUUACCAUGGAAGGUUGUCCCUUUCCCAAUGUUUGAAUUUCAAAGCAAGUGGAUUGCUAGUGUUUUAUCAGGUAGGGUUGCACUUCCAUUGCAAGAGGAGAUGAUGAAAGAUAUUGAAGCUUUCUACCUGUCACUUGAAGCUUCAAACAUUCCGAAAAGAUAUACUCAUAACAUGGGUGAUCAUCAGUUUGAUUAUAACAAUUGGCUUGCUGCUCAAUGCGGGUGUGAAGGGAUUGAAGAAUGGAGAAAGCAAAUGUAUUGCGCUACCAGCAACAACAGGCGCCUCCGGCCAGAUACAUAUCGUGAUGAAUGGGAAGAUGAUCACCUGAUCUUGGAAGCCAACGAAGACUUUAUUCAAAAGGAUUUACAAAGAGUUUCAUCUCUCAAUAAAGCAAUUUAAACAGUCAAUGCCAUGAGAAACUCUCAAAAGGAUUUAUAUUGGAUAAGUUGGAGCUACUUGAGAGAUGAAAUACUGUGGAAUGGUGGAAUGCACCUGAGAGAGGGUUAGUCUCAAAACUAAACCCAUAAAUUAUCAGAAUCAGG